rnacentral:rRNA from 1 species
UACGUAGGGACCAAGCGUUGUUCGGAAUUACUGGGCGUAAAGGGCGCGUAGGCGGACAGUUUAGUCAGAGGUGAAAGCCCAGGGCUCAACCUUGGAACUGCCUUUGAUACUGGCUGUCUUGAGUUCGGGAGAGGUGAGUGGAAUGCCGAGUGUAGAGGUGAAAUUCGUAGAUAUUCGGCGGAACACCAGUGGCGAAGGCGACUCACUGGCCCGAUACUGACGCUGAGGCGCGAAAGCGUGGGGAGCAAACAGG